rnacentral:rRNA from 1 species
UACGGAGGGUGCAAGCGUUAUCCGGAUUCACUGGGUUUAAAGGGUGCGUAGGUGGGCAGGUAAGUCAGUGGUGAAAUCUCCGGGCUUAACCCGGAAACUGCCAUUGAUACUGUCUGUCUUGAAUACCGUGGAGGUGAGCGGAAUAUGUCAUGUAGCGGUGAAAUGCUUAGAUAUGACAUAGAACACCAAUUGCGAAGGCAGCUCACUACACGAAUAUUGACACUGAGGCACGAAAGCGUGGGGAUCAAACAGG